CCUACGGGUGGCUGCAGUGCGGACUAUUGGUCAAUGGACGGGAGUCUGAACCAGCCAAGUAGCGUGAAGGAUGACUGCCCUAUGGGUUGUAAACUUCUUUUAUAUGGGAAUAAAACAGGUUAUGGAUACUCUUUUGUAUGUACCGUAUGACUAAGGAUCGGCUAAUUCCGUGCCAGCAGCCGCGGUAAUACGGAGGAUCCGAGCUUUAUCCGGAUUUAUUGGGUUUAAAGGGAGCGUAGGUGGAUUGUUAAGUCAGUUGUGAAAGUUUGCGGCUCAACCGUAACAUUGCAGUUGAAACUGGCAGUCUUGAUUACAGGAGAGGUAGGCGGAAUUCGUGGUGUAGCGGUGAAAUGCUUAGAUAUCACGAAGAACUCCGAUUGCGAAGGCAGCACACUGGACUGCAACUGACACUGAAGCUCGAAAGUGUGGGUAUCAAACAGGAUUAGAUACCCGAGUAGUC
rnacentral:rRNA from 1 species